rnacentral:rRNA from 1 species
CACGUAGGCACCAAGCGUUGUCCGGAUUUAUUGGGCGUAAAGAGCUCGUAGGCGGCUUGUCGCGUCGUUCGUGAAAACCUGCAGCUCAACUGCAGGCUUGCGGUCGAUACGGGCAGGCUGGAGUUCGGUAGGGGAGACUGGAAUUCCUGGUGUAGCGGUGAAAUGCGUAGAUAUUGGGAAGAACACCUGAGGCGAAGGCGGGUUGCUGGGCCGACACUGACGCUGAGGCGCGAAAGCCAGGGGAGCAAACGGG